ensembl:lncRNA
UUUGUUUGUUUUUAGUUGUGUAAAAACAGAUGCUAACCACAUACUCAAAUAAGGAGUACCUCGAGGGGAGCAGGAAACUUCCCCUCCUUCCCCAGACAGAUUUUUUACAAAAUGAUACGUAUGUAUCCUGCUGUACAUGUCUUGAUGAACUGUCAUUGGAAUUUUAAAGCACUUAAAGACUUAACAACUAACAGACAUAAAAUUUUGCUUCCUUUUAACCAUGAAGAUUUCAAUGAAGCCUGACUAACAAGAGCUAAUUCAUUGGAAAACAGUCUCAGUAGGAAAAGAUGCUAUGUGCAGUUAUAGUGGUAUUCUCUGAAGUAUUUUAAAAUAGUAUUAAUUCAUGCUUUCUACAUUCCUAAUUCUGUCCCUCUAUCCCUCAGUAUUGUCACAUACUGUGAUCUUGAUUUUGACCUUUAGUGAAAUCAUUUACUCAUAAUAUAGUUUGUGAACUUGGAUACUAGUAGAUGAUUGUAAAAAUAUCUCAGUCUACACAUUUCUAAAGGACCAAGAGGAUAGGAUAGGAUAGGAUAGGAUAGGAUAGGAUAGGAUAGGAUAGGAUAGGAUAGGAUAGGAUAGGAUAGUUCAGUUUAGCAUGAUUGUUAAUAUGUUAAAUGCAAUCCAUUUUGAAUAUAUGUUUCUACAUAAUGAACAUUUUUCCCUAUAACAAAAAUGAUUUUUUGUUUGUUUGUUUGUUUUUUUGAGUGUUAGUGUCAUCAUGGAUAUCUUGAAAGAGUUUUGAGAGAGUGAAGUGCAGUGCGGGUGUUAUUUAGUAAUAGGAUAUAGUAGGCUGUGAUGUCUGGAACUGUGAUUAUUUAUGAUUAUCAAAAAUAGAUGUGAAUAUUAGCAUUUGAGAAUAUAUCACAGAUUACAUAUUAAGAUGAAGAUAAAUGAGUCUGUGUGGUACAAGACUAGAAAUCAUUGUAACUAUCAAACUCUGCUUAUGGAAAAGCAAAUAACACUUGCAAUGAGAACGUGAAGGGGAAUGAAAACUGGAACGAUAUCAAUUGCAUACAAAGCCACUGGGAUCAGAUGAGCUGUGCAGAAUUUACAGUGAAAGACCACUUAUUCUCAAUACAAGUUAAAAUAUGUUAAUGCAUGUCAGAAUCCUCUCCCCCCAAAACUCUUAUCCUUAAAGAUGUGCAUAUUCCCUUCAAAAAGAAUGAGAAGGCAAGAAGCCAACAGGCUGCUCUGAGAAAGUAUCCAGAAAGCUUGUCAGUGCUUGUCAGCAGAAAUCAAGAUGGGGAGACAGUCUAGGGAUGCUGUUGAAGUCUUUUCUCUGAUAUAAAGCCCUCUGGGGAGUAAGCAAUCUGGAAUAAUUGUAGAUACACCAUGAUAAUAGACUGAAGUCAAUUGCAAUUUAGGUCAGAUGAUCAAUUGAUUUUCCCUUUCUCCAGCUUGAUUCAGUGUCUAAUAAACACAAGCAAAAUGCAUUCUACUGCCUCUCAGGUUAGCAUACUUAAGGGGAUAAAUAUAUUAAAGAAAAAUUUUUAAAAAAUAAUCUUGGUUAUUUUCAUUCUUAUUGAUUUUGUGCUCACAGAGGUGCACAGGGAGGAAAUUGGAAAUCUUUAUGAUGGCAGAGGGUAAGAACUUUAGCACCAUAUCAUUUUUUUUCCAAGAGGAAAGAUCCAUUCAGCAGGCAGAUGAGUUGCUGUAUAUAUAGGGAAAGCUAAAAGUGACUGCAGGUCAGCACACCAAACAUGAUUAUGUGGGCCUAGGAUAUCAGAGAAAGAGAUUUGAUAAAAAAGUAUUUGGUAGGGAGGAUGACAGAUAUCACUGGGACACCCAGGUGUGGACAUUUCAGUGUUAAACUGGUCCUAGCAUUCUAAUCUACAUCCUUUAGGGAAAUUCAUUCUGCAGUCCCCCAAAACAAGGUCAAAUGCUUGGAAGUUCUUUGGACUCAAUGAUCCUUAUGGGUCACUUCCAUCUUGGGUUAUUGUAUGACUCUAUGAUUCUAUGAUCUAUUAAAUGACAGAUCCAGCUAACCAGAGGAACGGCAUCACAUUCAGAGCUUUAGAUCUGUGAUGCCCCCAAAACCUGAGUUUCCCUCACAUCACAAUGUCUUAAUCCUUGUCAUGAACUCCUUACAUUGGUGUAGCACAGACAAACAGCUGGUCUUUCUUAAUGUUCCCUUCUCAGUAUCUACACUCUGCAACAGUUUGGUUUGCAGCAUUGAUAAACACAUCUUGGAGAAUUUUUAUCUACUGUUUCCCUAUCUGGAAAGGGAGUGAUUGUAAUCACUCUCCCUUUCUCUAUAGUGAUGAGGAGGAAGGUCCCCAGCAGGUCUAGAGGACUCUUCCCCUUUCUUGAUGGCUUUGUCAGCCCUGCUAAUGCAUAGCCCAAAAAAGGCUCUGAAUUUCCACAGGAUUGAAGCUUUAUUAAACUUCUUAGGUUGGACCACCUAGAUGCCUGAACAACAUGAAACCUAUCAAAUAUUUAUCUACAUGAAACUUCUGCUCUUAGUCUUUCAAACUCAAUGUAGUGUUGGAUCCAGAAGUGCAACCCAGUUUCCAUGGUUCACCUAGUGUCUUAAACAUAUGUUGAACUGAUGCUUAACUAAAUUCCAGGAUCGUGUUUUUGCCCUCUUUGCACGCAAAGGAAAACCAAGUACACUGUAAAGACCUUGCCACCUCCAGAAAUGUUCCCGCUAUGUUAUGCCAUGCAGACAGUCUGAAUGCCUCAGUUUCCAUUUUUGAAAGGCAGAAGGGGAUAGGUGUCUUCUGAAGAUGACGUUAUAAAACACAGCUGUUGCAAAAUUGACUUACAAAAGGAGGGAAUAUUAUAUAAGAAGAAAUUCUUUUAUAUUGACACUUCAUUAAUACUAAAACAAAUCACUCCAUCAUGUUCCUAAGGGAAAUUCAUUUCUGGGAAGCUUGUUCACUAGCUUGUAUUAAAGAUCAGUUUGUUCCCGAGGUAGUGUAGAUGUAGUAGAACCAG